rnacentral:lncRNA from 1 species
CCGCAUAUAAUAUUUAAUAUCCAAAGCAUGAAAUUUCAAUAAAAUUUCAUAAAAACAAAGUUUUAACAAAAAGUUCUUUGUACAAAUUAUUCUAAAAAUAUAUACUUAGAUGCCACUCCCACGCUUCAUGCAUACUACAAACAAAACAUAUUAUCUCACAAUAGCAGCAGCGCUCCGGUGUAGUCUUUCAGGUAGGUCUUCUUUCAACCAGUAAGCCUGAGAAGUAAAAAGUAACAGAGUAAGUUCGUAUAAACUUAGUGAGUUCCAAAAAUAUCUUAAGUAAGAAUACUAAAUGCACAACUGAACUUUUAAAAAAAAUUCACACAUUAUCACAGAGUAUGCCCAAUGGUGUAUACAGAACUCAGAUAGAUCAAUAAGCCAAUGGCGUACCACAUAGGUGAAUACUAUAUGCCAACUCAACAUAACUCAGAUAAUCCAUUUUCAUGCCAGCAAUGUGCCCAGAUUUCAUAGCCAGAUACAUAAUACAGUCUCAUUAACAUACAUUAUUCACCAUAACUUCUCAUAUCAUUUACACUCAAUAUAACAUGUUUUAUCAUGUUUUGCCAAUCCAGUUUGCAACAUACUUGUCCUAUCGGAGGCUACACAAACAUAUCUCCUCAUCUCUAUCUCUACAUAUCAGUUCACAUCAUAUCAUUCAUUCACAUUAGAAGCAGUUACUAGUGGCUUAAAUAUGAAAAAUGACUCAUACUUCAUAUCAUAGACAUAUUGAACUCAAAUUAACAACUCUGAAUAACCGUUAUUCAUACACAUACAUUUUUCAUCAUUUACAAAGAAAGAAUACUUACCUUAUACAAAUAUUCAUACACAUACAUUUUUCAUCAUUUACAAAGAAAGAAUACUUACCUUAUACAAAUAUAAAAUAAAAAAGACCACAACACAUGAAAGUCAGAAGGAACUCACUAGAAAUUAUAGUAAAGUCUAUAAAGCAUGUCCUUUGCCUUUAUCACUUGGGCCUUUAGUAGCUUCUUGAUCUAAAAAUGAUGAUAAUUAAACAUAUCAUAUCACUAGUCUAUCAAAUCUAAACAUGCAUGCAAGAAUCAUCAACACUUAAUCCAGAAUCAUGAAGUUUCCUUCCUUACACACCAUUCUAACAUUUAUGCAUGUAGAACUAAAAACACGUAAAUAACUUUGAAGAUAACCUAGGGUUCAUCAUUAAUUACUAGUGAGCUGAUACAAAUGUAUAAGUUAGCUGAAUACAACGAACCCAACUUCGAAGAGGUUUUUUGGACUAAAUUUUUCAAAGAGUUCAAAGAAAAUCAAGAAGAAAGAAGAAAACAAAGAAUACGCAAAGGUUUUUAGAGCAGUCAUCGCUAUCCUUAUACACUUAAGCACGGAGACAAGGUUUAGUGGAAGAAUCAUAUAAUUCCAUUAACACUCUUGGUUCUCGUGAUUAAGUGCGCUUAUAAUAAUUUAAGUCUUUUCAUCUACAGUAACUUAGUUCUAUUCUAAAUAAAUCCCAACUUAACUAACUAAAUUACCUUACUAAAAUAAUAAACAAAUCUAAUUAACUAUAAAUUUGACUAGUUUGCCAAAAAAUCUGAGGUGGCGUAUGCUUAACAAAAGAGUUCGCCAACCAUAGAUCUCGCCAAAGCAAAGAGUUCGCCAAUUGGCAUAACACUCAAAACUCUAUACUUAUCCAAAACAAACACUUAUUCUUAUCUACCCUUCUAUUACCAACUAUAUGUCAAACAAAUAGUACUCACAUACAAAAACUUUGUCGGGCGAGUUGUUACAUAUAAGGUUUUACUUUGGAAGUACAAGAAUGCAAUAAUAAUUCAGGGAAAAUAUGGUAGCACUGAGGCGAUACUAGGACAAGCUAAAAAUCUCGCCAUUCACAUAAGCAGCAAUAACAAAGUUGAAAGAUGAAUCAUCUAGAAUUAUUGCCAUCAAAUGGAAGGCACCUUGCUAUGGUUGGCUAAAGAUCAAUUCAGAUGGAGCUACUGUAGUGAGUGGAAACUGGUCAGCAAUAGGUGGCGUUUUACGUGACUCGCAUGGUAAUUGGUUAGCAGGCUUUCAUCGAUUCAUCGGGAGAGGUUAUGCUCUAAUGGCUAAAUUAUGGGCGAUCCUCCAUGGCCUUGAAAUAGCUUCGCAGAAGGGGUACACCAAGGUGAUAAUUGAAUCUAACAAUAAAAGUGUAGUGGAUAUGCUAACAAAUGCUUCAGUAGGGUCAUCAUCAACAACUUUAGUCCAAAGAAUAAAGGAGGAAUGUAGGCGCAAUUGGACUGUCAAAAUCCAACAUGUCUUCCGUGAAGCAAAAAAAAUGGUUGAUUACACAACCAAGUCUUGAUCUAAAAAUAAAUAUGAAUCGAAAAUUAUUGAUUCCCCCAUGUUUGGUAUUAGGCAACUCCUUUUAGUGGAUAAAAUGGGGGACUUUUAUGUAAGAAAGAUUAAAGAGAGAGAGAGAGGGGGAGGGGGAGG